GGAGGCUUAGUGGUAGAGCAUCUGCAUUGCAUGGCAGAAGGUCUUGGGUUCGAUUCCUGGCAUCUCCA